UGGGGAAUAUUGCACAAUGGAGGAAACUCUGAUGCAGCAACGCCGCGUGAGUGAAGAAGGUCUUCGGAUUGUAAAGCUCUGUUAAUCGGGACGAAAUAAUGACGGUACCGAUAGAGGAAGCCACGGCUAACUACGUGCCAGCAGCCGAGGUAAUACGUAGGUGGCGAGCGUUGUCCGGAAUUACUGGGCGUAAAGGAUGCGUAGGUGGAUAAUUAAGUCAGAUGUGAAAAUCCCGGGCUCAACUUGGGAACUGCAUUUGAAACUGAAUAUCUAGAGUGCAGGAGAGGAAAGCGGAAUUCCGAGUGUAGCGGUGAAAUGCGUAGAUAUUAGGAAGAACACCAGUGGCGAAGGCGGCUUUCUGGACUGUAACUGACACUGAGGCAUGAAAGCGUGGGGAGCAAACA
rnacentral:rRNA from 1 species